UGCUGAAUAGGUUGCAGGAUUUGGCCUCCU
rnacentral:piRNA from 1 species